rnacentral:lncRNA from 1 species
GGAAUAUUACAAUGGUGUUUUCUGCUGAAAAACUACAUUUUAAGAGCCAUGCUUAAUAUUUAGUGUGCUUCCAUUCUUGAAGAAGAGAGCUGAAUUUUAAAAAUAGAUGUAUUAAAUAUGCUUUCAUAUAAAUUUAUAUUACACCAUUAUUGGAAGCAUUGAGCCAUGGCAAACAAUCUAUUACAUCAUGAUUUACUAUGCUGUAUUGUAUCAACUGAUGGAUUAUAGCAUGUCAUGUUUUGAUAUGUAAAAUCUUUAAGAUAAUUAAAGAAGCAAACCACAAAAAUAGUGCAUGUGCCAUUUUAACUAAAAAUCUUUUUUUUCCAUUCUCCAAAGUAAUUUUAGACAUUUUAGAGGGUUCUAUAUUUUGGCAUAGCUGGGUAUCCAGGUAUUAGCUCUAUGAGGAAAUAUAUAAUAUACAUGAGGAAAGCUAUUAAAAUAGGACAUACGAAAAAUAGCCGAUGAUAACUUUUGAAGGAUAUAAAAAUUGACAUUUUAUAAAUAUUCAUAUUAUCUGUUUUCUUCUCUGAUUUUGAGUAUUGUGUCAACCAUGCUCUUAUAAAUAUGACCCCUGUUUUUUAAAGAAUCAAUAUAUUUGCCUUCUUUCCUACUAGGUGUUACUAUCAGCAUAAAGUUGCUACCAAGGAAAUAAUGCAAAUAAUUCUUUGUGGCCAGUUGCCAAAGAAGAUACAUUUCACAGAAAAAUUAUCUGCAUUUUUAAUCUGAACAAUGGCAUGGCUAAUAAGAUGCUAACUACUGAUUUAAAUCAGGUGAGAAAAAUACACGAAGGAAAGGCCUCACAAGACCUCAGCGUAGCAAGUAAGACCUGAAUCUUGGACUUCCAGCUCCUAAAACCGGAAUACUCAUCUCCCUUAUGGAUGUGAAAAGUAUGCAGUGAUAAACCAA